AACGAACGCUGGCGGCAUGCCUAACACAUGCAAGUCGAACGAGACCUUCGGGUCUAGUGGCGCCCGGGUGCGUAACGCGUGGGAACCUGCCCUUAGGUUCGGAAUAACUCCCCGAAAGGGGUGCUAAUACCGGAUAAUGUCUUCGGCCCAAAGAUUUAUCGCCCUUGGAUGGGCCCGCGUUGGAUUAGCUAGUUGGUAGGGUAAAAGCCUACCAAGGCGACGAUCCAUAGCUGGUCUGAGAGGAUGAUCAGCCACACUGGGACUGAGACACGGCCCAGACUCCUACGGGAAGCAGCAGUGGGGAAUAUUGGACAAGGGGCGAAAGCCUGAUCCAGCAAUGCCGCGUGAGUGAUGAAGGCCUUAGGGUUGUAAAGCUCUUUUACCCGGGAUGAUAAUGACAGUACCGGGAGAAUAAGCUCCGGCUAACUCCGUG
rnacentral:rRNA from 1 species